AACGAACGCUGGCGGCAGGCUUAACACAUGCAAGUCGAACGAAGUCUUCGGACUUAGUGGCGCACGGGUGAGUAAGACGUGGGAAGAUACCUUACGCUGGGGGAUACCAUCGGGAAACUGAUGCUAAUACCGCAUACGCCCUUCGGGGGAAAGAUUUAUCGGCGCAAGAUUAGCCCGCGUCCGCUUAGCUGGUUGGUGAGGUAAUGGCUGAGCAAGGCUCCGAUCGGUAGCUGGUCGGAGAGGAUGACCAGCCACGCUGGGACUGAGACACGGCCCAGACUCCUACGGGAGACAGCGGUGGGGAAUAUUGGAGAAUGGGCGCAAGCCUGAUCCAGCCAUGCCGCGUGUGUGAUGCAGGCGUUAGUGUUGUAAAGCUCUUUCACCCGCGACGAGGAUGACGGUAGUGGGAGAAGAAGCCCCGGCUAACUUCGUG
rnacentral:rRNA from 1 species